rnacentral:lncRNA from 1 species
CACGUAUCAUGCCAUCAUCCGUUCCUCCGACCCAGUGAUCUCCACGUGCAGUCCACAAACCCCUUAGCCAUUCUCUUAGCCCGGAUGACCGCCUCUCCUAUGAUCGCGUCCAGCCGCCCGUGAUGCGGACGCUAGUCCGUGAUCCCAGCCUCCACCGUGGCCAUGAUCGGCGUCCUCCUAGCAUCCCAGCUCUUCCGCACAUCACAAAUGAUCCAUAGAGCUUCUUCCUCCCGUGAUGCACUCCCGCCUCUCCACCGUGGUCCAAAGAAGGAAUUCCAAAUCAGCAGCCCGCGCGGUGAACGUCCCAGCACCCGGAUCCAAGCCGUGACCGCCUCCUCCAGCGAUCUCGCUCCCUUCCAGCCAACGCAUCCAUCCACGGAUCCGUUCCAGCCGCAGCAGCAAAUCCCAGCCUCCUUCCCGUGAUCUCGCCUCACAGAUCGCGUCCAAACCCCGGAUCACGUCAUCAUCCCAAGAUCCAGCCUCCUCCGCUUUGCUCAUCCCGUGAUGCAGCCGAGAUCCCGCAUCCGUUCCGAAGAGGUGAUCCCGCACACGACCGCAGACCGCGCCCUCCUCCUCUCCCGGGAUCCAUCGCGGGCUUGAAGGUCUUCGGCGAUCUAUAAGAGGAGGACGGGAGGAGAAGAAAGGGGGCGGAGCUCUCUGUGCAGGGUGGAGGCGGAACAGGGGAGAGAAGAGAGAGUGUUGUGCUCUGUUUUCAACUUCAUUGAAAACAGAGCAUUGUGUUUCUUUUUUCUUUUUUUUAGUUUUUAGUUUUUUAGUUUUUUUUUAGUUUUAUUUUAAUUAAGAGCAAUGUGUUGUUUGUAGUUGGAAUUUUAAUUGAGAGCAAUGUGUUUUGAGUUUGAAUUUUAAUUGAGAGCAUGUUGUUUUGGGGUUUUUAGUUUUAUUUUAAUAGAGAGUUUUAUUUAUACUAAAGUUUUUAAUUUC